rnacentral:rRNA from 1 species
AUACGUAGGUGACAAGCGUUAUCCGGAUUUAUUGGGUUUAAAGGGAGCGCAGGCGGAGAUGCAAGCGUGACGUCAAAUUUCGGGGCUCAACCCCGUCUCGCGUCGCGAACUGCGUCCCUUGGUUGCGGGAAGGGGAGGCGGAACUCGUGGUGUAGCGGUGAAAUGCAUAGAUAUCACGAAGAACUCCGAUCGCGAAGGCAGCCUUCCGGCCCGUCAACGACGCUCAUGCUCGAAGGUGCGGGUAUCAAACAGGAUUAGAUACCCUGGUAGUCCGCACAGUAAACGAUGGACACCCGCGGUUUGGCCUGUAUGGCUGAGCCGCCAAGCGAAAGCGUUAAGUGUCCCACCUGGGGAGUACGCCGGCAACGGUGAAACUCAAAUGAAUUGACGGGG